GCGGAGGAAAAGAAACUAACAAGGAUUCCCCUAGUAACGGCGAGUGAAGCGGGAAGAGCUCAAAUUUGUAAUCUGGCACUUUCAGUGUCCGAGUUGUAAUCUCGAGAAGUGUUUUCCGCGCCGGACCGCAUACAAGUCUGUUGGAAUACAGCGUCAUAGUGGUGAGAACCCAGUAACUGAUGCGGAUGCCCGGUGCUUUGUGAUACACUUUCGAAGAGUCGAGUUGUUUGGGAAUGCAGCUCAAAUUGGGUGGUAAAUUCCAUCUAAAGCUAAAUAUUGGCGAGAGACCGAUAGCGAACAAGUACCGUGAGGGAAAGAUGAAAAGCACUUUGGAAAGAGAGUUAACAGUACGUGAAAUUGUUGGAAGGGAAACACUUGACGUCAGACUUGCGUUUCGGAGUUCAGCCGCAAGGUGUAUUCUUCGAUUUGCAGGCCAGCAUCAGUUUUUGGGGAUGGAAAAUCGUGGUUUGAAGGUAGCAGUUUCGGCUGUGUUAUAGCUUUCCACUGGAUUCAUCUUCGGGGACUGAGGAACGCAGUACGCUUUUUGCAAGGCUCUCGAGCUUUUCGUACUUAGGAUGCUGGUGGAAUGGCGUUAAAUGACCCGUCUUGA
rnacentral:rRNA from 1 species